rnacentral:lncRNA from 1 species
UUGCCCUUGAAAUAGUCAUCUUCCUUCCUUAGCCCCUAAAGUGCUGGGAUUAGAGGUUUGCACCACGUCUGGCUCCUAGCACUUUCAUUGAGACAGGUAUCCUUGUGUGUGUGUGUUACAUAAAAUAAUUCAAUACUUUCAAUAACCUUGUAAGGAGCUCAUGGUGAUGGAGGGGGAGCCAGAGCACACAUGUGGCAGUCAGAGAACAACUGAGAAUGGUUGUCUUUUUCCACACUGAUGGGGAUGCCAGGGACCAAACUCAAGCACCAGGAUGCAUAUUGUUUCUAUAGGCAGUGUGUCAAGUCAAAAAAGAUAGAAAUGGAGGGAUGGCCAUUGAUGAAAUGCUUGCUAGGACGAGAAACAGAACGCCAAACUUUGUGCAAGCAACCUACUACUGAGCAGCAUCUCUUGCUGUUUUCAGUAUAAGUUACAAUAAAUGUAAAACAAAUCACAUUGUAGGUAUAUGUAAAUAUAAGCUAAUCACUUGUUAUAAGGGAGGAAUAGGAAAAGAGAUGGAGACAGAUGGAGAGAGAAGCAGAGGAAUGCCAUGAAUGCUUUCUAGAGAGGAGCUGAUGGACUCUGUCAUCAGACAAGACCUGGGGCCAUGCAUGCCAACAGUCCUCCACCAACAGUGCAGCAAAGUUAUUUUCCCUAUGAAGAGAAUAGAACGGAACGGAACGGAAGGGAACGGAACAGAAUGGAAUGGAACGGAACAGAACAGAACGGAACAGAACAGAAUUCUAGACUAGAAGCAAGCAAAGCUCCAACUGGAUAGAUUGGAUACCAGUUUUAGAAGAGACUGCAGAGCUCUAAUGUCCCAUUAAGUUGAGCUGCUUCUUGGUUCCCAUCAUUUAUCUUUUGGUUCUAUAAAAAGCAGCACCAACAAGGUAAAUGGGUCAUAAAAUACCUUCUACCAAAAUCAGAGGGCAGAGGAGAAGUUCAAUGUGUCAAGGGUGGACCCUGAAGCGAGAAUAUGACCAUAUUCUGUCAAAGAGGAACAAAUUUCUGAGCAGAACAAGAAGCAUGGGAGCCAUAAAGAUAGGAACAUCCUAAGAGAGGAGAAGAAAGGGAAAGAGAGGAAGGAACAACAUGCAGAAAAUAAAAGAUGGUGCCUCAAUGAAUAAAGGCUCACCACCUGCCCAUGUGGACAUCCAGUUGUGUAGAACAUUAAUUUUUUUAAAAAUCAACUAUGGAUUCUUAUAAAAAGGAAAGAAAAAAUGAAUGACCCCAAGAGAUUCCAAGUUUAGUGAGACAGUUUGAAGACCUAAACAGUAUUAGGAAAGGGCUAAUAGAUGGGUAUAUUCUAAAGCAAGGGGCAUAUGGCAAGUAUGAUGUGGAGUAAUUUGCUGGCCUGGAACAAGACCAUGGUGGCCACAACAAACAAACAAACAAAAACACAUCUGUAUUUUUUAAGGGUUUCUUUUUUUAAAAAAAGACUUAUUCAUUUUAUGUAUCUGAGUACACUGUAGCUGUGGAUGGUUGUGAGCCUUCAUAUGGUUGUUGGGAGUUGAAUUUU